rnacentral:rRNA from 1 species
CUCGGCAACGGAUAUCUCGGCUCUCGCAUCGAUGAAGAACGUAGCGAAAUGCGAUACUUGGUGUGAAUUGCAGAAUCCCGUGAACCAUCGAGUCUUUGAACGCAAGCUGCGCCCGAAGCCAUUAGGCUGAGGGCACGUCUGCCUGGGCGCCACGC